CAGGACGAACGCUGGCGGCGUGCUUAACACAUGCAAGUCGAACGGUAAGGCCCCAGCUUGCUGGGGUACACGAGUGGCGAACGGGUGAGUAACACGUGGGUGACCUGCCCCGCACUUCGGGAUAAGCCUGGGAAACUGGGUCUAAUACCGGAUAGGACCGCACCGUGAGGGUGUGGUGGAAAGUUUUUCGGUGUGGGAUGGGCCCGCGGCCUAUCAGCUUGUUGGUGGGGUAAUGGCCUACCAAGGCGGCGACGGGUAGCCGGCCUGAGAGGGUGGACGGCCACAUUGGGACUGAGACACGGCCCAGACUCCUACGGGAGGCAGCAGUGGGGAAUAUUGCACAAUGGGCGGAAGCCUGAUGCAGCGACGCCGCGUGGGGGAUGACGGCCUUCGGGUUGUAAACUCCUUUCACCAUCGACGAAGGUUUUCUGACGGUAGAUGGAGAAGAAGCACCGGCUAACUACGUGCCAGCAGCCGCGGUAAUACGUAGGGUGCGAGCGUUGUCCGGAAUUACUGGGCGUAAAGAGCUCGUAGGUGGUUUGUCGCGUCGUCUGUGAAAUUCCGGGGCUUAACUCCGGGCGUGCAGGCGAUACGGGCAUAACUUGAGUACUGUAGGGGAGACUGGAAUUCCUGGUGUAGCGGUGAAAUGCGCAGAUAUCAGGAGGAACACCGGUGGCGAAGGCGG
rnacentral:rRNA from 1 species